AACUUAUCAAGAGAGACUGAGGGACAGGCCCAAUGACGUCCAGCAACCAUCAUUUCAUAUGAGAGGUGCUAAUUCCUGCAGAGCGUUUGCUCUGAGAGAUAAGAU
rnacentral:ncRNA from 2 species